rnacentral:misc_RNA from 1 species
AAGUCGUAACAAGGUUUCCGUAGGUGAACCUGCAGAAGGAUCAUCAUUGAAUUAUUAUUACCCACCCCUUGUGAACUGUUUGCUUGUUGUUGUUUGGCAGGAAAUGCAUUCACUUGAAUGCUCUGCGCCCAAAAGCUCAGGCCUGCCAACAGCACGAUAUUUUAACAAACUUUUAACCACUUACUGAUAAAUAAAUGUUAAUUAAAACAACUUUCAACAAUGGAUCUCUUGGCUCUU